UAGGGAAUUUUCCACAAUGGGCGAGAGCCUGAUGGAGCAAUACCGCGUGAUGGAUGAAGGCUCUAGGGUCGUAAACAUCUUUUUAUCUGUGACGAAUAUGACGGUAGCAGAUGAAUAAGGAUCGGCUAACUACGUGCCAGCAGCCGCGGUCAUACGUAGGAUCCAAGCGUUAUCCGGAUUUACUGGGUGUAAAGAGUUGCGUAGGUGGCAGAGUAAGUAAAUAGUGAAAUCGUGCGGCUCAACCGCAUACCCAUUAUUUAAACUGCUCAGCUUGAGAGUGAGAGAGGUAGAUGGAAUUGCUAGUGUAGGAGUGAAAUCCGUAGAUAUUAGCAGGAACACCGAUGGCGUAGGCAGUCUACUGGCUCAUUUCUGACACUAAGGCACGAAAGCGUGGGGAGCAAACGGGAUUAGAUACCCCUGUAGUCCCUGAGCGGGCUGGCAAGGCGCAU
rnacentral:rRNA from 1 species